rnacentral:rRNA from 1 species
AACGAACGCUGGCGGCAGGCUUAACACAUGCAAGUCGAGCGCCCCGCAAGGGGAGCGGCAGACGGGUGAGUAACGCGUGGGAACCUACCCAUCUCUACGGAAUAACGCAUGGAAACGCGUGCGAAUACCGUAUACGUCCUUCGGGUGAAAGAUUUAUCGGAGAUGGAUGAGCCCGCGUUGGAUUAGCUGGUUGGUGGGGUAAAGGCCUACCAAGGCGACGAUCCAUAGCUGGUCUGAGAGGAUGAUCAGCCACACUGGGAAUGAGGACACGGCCCAGACUCCUACGGGAGGCAGCAGUGGGGAAUAUUGGACAAUGGGCGCAAGCCUGAUCCAGCCAUGCCGCGUGAGUGAUGAAGGCCCUAGGGUUGUAAAGCUCUUUCACCGGUGAAGAUAAUGACGGUAACCGGAGAAGAAGCCCCGGCUAACUUCGUGCCAGCAGCCGCGGUAAUAC